rnacentral:rRNA from 1 species
ACUUAACACAUGCAAGUCGAACGAGGAGCUUCGGUGUAGCAAUACAUCGGAGCUUCUAGUGGCGCACGGGUGAGUAACACGUGGGCAACCUGCCCUCGAGUCCGGGAUACCCUCUCGAAAGGGAGGCUAAUACUGGAUACGUUCUUCGGAUCGCAAGGUCUGGAGAGGAAAGGUAGCGAAAGCUGCCGCUCUUGGAGGGGCUCGCGGCCUAUCAGCUAGUUGGUGAGGUCAUGGCUCACCAAGGCGAUGACGGGUAGCUGGUCUGAGAGGACGACCAGCCACACGGGAACUGAGACACGGGCCCGACUCCGACGGGAGGCAGCAGUGGGGAAUUUUCCGCAAUGGGCGAAAGCCUGACGGAGUGACGCCGCGUGGGGGAAGAAGGCCUUCGGGUUGUAAACCGCUUUUGUCAGGGAAGAAAAGGUUCUGGUUAAUACCUGGGACUCAUGACGGUACCUGAAGAAUAAGCACCAGCUAACUACGUGCCAGCCGCCGCGGUAAAAC